rnacentral:lncRNA from 1 species
CCUUGUUCGACGGACACGCCCGCACCUACUUUUUUCAAAACAGAAUUUUUUUAUUUUUAUUAUAUUCCCGCUUUCCGCAUCCGGAAAUGUAAUCAUGUCCAUUUCCUUCACCGUUUUUUGUAAGUAUUAUAAAAAGAUCUCAACAUUUGUUUUUAAAAUCACAGUAUAACAUUUAUAUAACGAUUUUAAACCCAUAAGCACCCCACAACACUGUAAAUAUCUGUGAGAAUAUUUGUUUCAGCAUGAUUGGAGUGUGAGUGCUCCGAUAAAAAUAUAUAACAGUGGGAAUACCUGUACAGAACAAAAAACAUUAGUUCCUUUCCCCCUGACUUAUAUUCCCUAUAAAAAAAUGUUCGUGUUAAAAUAAAGUACAAAGAACUUCUGAAGGAUUUGCCUUCAACUGCAAUUAUAAUGUAUGCUGAAAGUCAUAACCGCUGCAAGUUUGUGCCUGUCCUGAUUGAUUCAGGGACCUGUUGUUCAGCAGUUAUCGUUUGUUGUUGGGUGUUUUCCCGUUUGGAAAUAUAAAUUAGAUCGUUGGGUUUCCUGUUCGAAUUGUGUACAAUACUAAGUUGUGGUCCCUUAUAGGUUGCUGUUUGGUCAGGAUCAAAGCUCUGUGUAAAAGGCUGUACUUUGACCUAUGUUUGUUAUUAUCAGGUUAUCCCUCAGACAAGGCCUUGAAGGGGUCAUUUUACCAUGUUUACUGUUGUAGAAAAGAAAAUAGAAAUACUAAGGAUUUGUAUAGUGCUACUAUACAAAACCUUUGAAAACUAGAAUUUUUUACUCAAAAAGAGGAGAAAUACAUUAUAUUUUUAAACAACUUCUCUAAAAGAGGGGUCCACUUAUUUUGAAUAAUAGUCCAGUAAAAUUCUUGGACAUGUUUUGACCAUUUAAUACCAUAUAGAUAUUAUAGUUCUUUGGGAAAUAUUAGCCCUUUUGUACUAAAAGUGUUUUUACCAAAAAAAUAUAUU